AGGAUGAACGCUGGCGGCGUGCCUAAUACAUGCAAGUCGAGCGAACAGAUAAGGAGCUUGCUCCUUUGACGUUAGCGGCGGACGGGUGAGUAACACGUGGGUAACCUACCUAUAAGACUGGGAUAACUUCGGGAAACCGGAGCUAAUACCGGAUAACAUUUGGAACCGCAUGGUUCUAAAGUGAAAGAUGGUUUUGCUAUCACUUAUAGAUGGACCCGCGCCGUAUUAGCUAGUUGGUAAGGUAACGGCUUACCAAGGCGACGAUACGUAGCCGACCUGAGAGGGUGAUCGGCCACACUGGAACUGAGACACGGUCCAGACUCCUACGGGAGGCAGCAGUAGGGAAUCUUCCGCAAUGGGCGAAAGCCUGACGGAGCAACGCCGCGUGAGUGAUGAAGGGUUUCGGCUCGUAAAACUCUGUUAUUAGGGAAGAACAAAUGUG
rnacentral:rRNA from 1 species